GUUGGCUUGGAAGCAGCCAUUCAUUUAAAGAGUGCGUAACAGCUCACUAGUCGAGGAGUCUGGCGUGGAUAAUAAUCGGGUAUUAAGUUGUCUACCGAAGCAGUGGGAUCAUUGAAAUGAUCGGUAGGGGAGCAUUCCAGUCAGCGUCGAAGGCGUACCGCGAGGUAUUCUGGAGCGUCUGGAAAAGCAAAUGUAGGUAUAAGUAACGAUAAAGGGGGCGGGAAACCCCCUCGCCGAAAGACUAAGGUUUCCUGAUCAACGCUAAUCGGAUCAGGGUAAGUCGGGUCCUAAGGCUCAGCCGAAGGGCGAUGCCGAUGGCAGAAACGGUUAAUAUUCCGUUACUACCUCCAGGAGUGAUGUGGAGACGCAGUAGUGACAAUGCCGCCAUCUGACGGAAUAGAUGGUUGAAGGGUGUAGAUGUUGAUCUUGGCAGGCAAAUCCACCAUGAGAAUCGAACCUGAUAGUAUGCCGCGUCCCUCGGGACAAGGCAAUAGUGCAUGUAAUCAUGCUGCCAAGAAAAUCCGCUAAACUAAAUCCUGUAGGUACCCGUACCGUAAACGGACACACGUAGUCGGGAUGAAUAUUCUAAGGCGCUUGAGUGAUUCACGGUUAAGGAACUAGGCAAACUGACCCUGUAACUUCGGGAUAAAGGGUCCCUACCCGGUGACGGGAGGGCGCAGAGAAUAGGUCCAGGCAACUGUUUAACAAAAACACAGGGCUGUGCGAAAUCGAAAGAUCCUGUAUACAGCCUGACACCUGCCCGGUGCUGGAAGGUUAAGAGGAGACGUCAUCGUUGAGAGAAGCGUUGAAUUGAAGCCCCAGUAAACGGCGGCCGUAACUAUAACGGUCCUAAGGUAGCGAAAUUCCUUGUCGGGUAAGUUCCGACCUGCACGAAUGGUGUAAUGAUCUGGACGCUGUCUCAACCGUGAGCUCAGUGAAAUUGUAGUAUCGGUGAAGAUGCCGAUUACCCGCGAUGGGACGAAAAGACCCCGUGAACCUUUACUAUAGCUUAUCAUUGAAUCUGGGCACGUGAUGUGUAGGAUAGGUCGGAGGCUUUGAAGGGGGUACGCCAGUAUCCUUGGAGCCGCUGUUGAAAUACGACCCUUCAUUUGUUUGGAUUCUAACCCGUGUAUAUGGGGACACUGAUUGGUGGGUAGUUUGACUGGGGUGGUCGCCUCCAAAAGCGUAACGGAGGCUUCUAAAGGUGCCCUCACGGCGAUUGGUAACCGCCGUUAGAGUGUAAUGGCAUAAGGGCGCUUGACUGGGAGACUGACAAGUCGAUCAGGUAGGAAACUAGAGCAUAGUGAUCCGGUGUUUCCGUAUGGAAGGGACAUCGCUCAAAGGAUAAAAGGUACUCCGGGGAUAACAGGCUGAUC
rnacentral:rRNA from 1 species